CUCAGGACGAACGCUGGCGGCGUGCUUAACACAUGCAAGUCGAACGAUGAACCACUUCGGUGGGGAUUAGUGGCGAACGGGUGAGUAACACGUGGGCAAUCUGCCCUUCACUCUGGGACAAGCCCUGGAAACGGGGUCUAAUACCGGAUAACACUGCGGAUCGCAUGGUCUGCGGUUAAAAGCUCCGGCGGUGAAGGAUGAGCCCGCGGCCUAUCAGCUUGUUGGUGAGGUAAUGGCUCACCAAGGCGACGACGGGUAGCCGGCCUGAGAGGGCGACCGGCCACACUGGGACUGAGACACGGCCCAGACUCCUACGGGAGGCAGCAGUGGGGAAUAUUGCACAAUGGGCGAAAGCCUGAUGCAGCGACGCCGCGUGAGGGAUGACGGCCUUCGGGUUGUAAACCUCUUUCAGCAGGGAAGAAGCGAAAGUGACGGUACCUGCAGAAGAAGCGCCGGCUAACUACGUGCCAGCAGCCGCGGUAAUACGUAGGGCGCAAGCGUUGUCCGGAAUUAUUGGGCGUAAAGAGCUCGUAGGCGGCUUGUCACGUCGAUUGUGAAAGCCCGAGGCUUAACCUCGGGUCUGCAGUCGAUACGGGCUAGCUAGAGUGUGGUAGGGGAGAUCGGAAUUCCUGGUGUAGCGGUGAAAUGCGCAGAUAUCAGGAGGAACACCGGUGGCGAAGGCGGAUCUCUGGGCCAUUACUGACGCUGAGGAGCGAAAGCGUGGGGAGCGAACAGGAUUAGAUACCCUGGUAGUCCACGCCGUAAACGGUGGGCACUAGGUGUUGGCGACAUUCCACGUCGUCGGUGCCGCAGCUAACGCA
rnacentral:rRNA from 1 species